UUCGCAAUGCCCGAAAGGGUGACGAAGCGACGCCGCGUGUGGGAAGAAGGCCUUCGGGUUGUAAACCACUGUCGGGAGUUAAGAAAUGCAAGGGUGCUGAUAGUAUCCUUGCUUGACUAAGGCUCCGGAGGAAGCCACGGCUAACUCUGUGCCAGCAGCCGCGGUAAUACAGAGGCGGCAAGCGUUGUUCGGAAUUAUUGGGCGUAAAGAGCACGUAGGCGGCUAUGUAAGUCGGUUGUGAAAGCCUUCCGCUCAACGGAAGAACAGCAUCCGAUACUGCAUGGCUUGAGUGCGGGAGGGGAGAGUGGAACUUCUGGUGGAGCGGUGAAAUGCGUAGAUAUCAGAAGGAACGCCGGCGGCGAAAGCGGCUCUCUGGCCCAUAACUGACGCUGAGUGUGCGAAAGCUAGGGGAGCAAACGGGAUUAGAUACCCCGGUAGUCCUAGCCGUAAACGAUGGGCACUAAGUAGAGGGGUUUU
rnacentral:rRNA from 1 species